GAUCAAUGAUGAAAAUAGCCAAAUCUGAGCAUCAGAAGACCUUUUGGUCUGCUUGGUGCAUGAUCUCUCUAGUUCUGAGA